rnacentral:rRNA from 1 species
AUUGGACAAUGGGGGGAACCCUGAUCCAGCCAUGCCGCGUGUGUGAAGAAGGUCUUCNNNUUGUANAGCACUUUAAGUUGGGANGACNAGUUGUAGGCUAAUACCUUGCAAUUUUGACGUCACCAACAGAAUAAGCACCGGCUAACUUCGUGCCAGCAGCCGCGGUAAUACGAAGGGUGCAAGCGUUAAUCGGAAUUACUGGGCGUAAAGCGCGCGUAGGUGGUUCGUUAAGUUGGAAGUGAAAGCCCCGGGCUUAACCUGGGAAUUGCUUUCAUAACUGCUGAGCUAGAGUACGGUAGAGGGUAGUGGAAUUUCCUGUGUAGCGGUGAAAUGCGUAGAUAUAGGAAGGAACACCAGUGGCGAAGGCGACUACCUGGACUGAUACUGACACUGAGGUGCGAAAGCGUGGGGAGCAAACAGG